rnacentral:rRNA from 1 species
UCUUAAUCCAACAUCGAGGUCGCAACCCAUUUUGUCGAUAUGAACUCUCAAAAAUGAUUACGCUGUUAUCCCUAAGGUAACUUAAUCUUUUGAUCAUAAAUUAUGGAUCAAAUAAACAUAAAUCAAUGAUUUAAUAAUGAAGAGUUUAUUUAUCCUUCAAGUCGCCCCAACUAAACAUUAAAAAACUUAUAUUAAAAGAUAAGCUAAAAUAAUACAAAACUUAUAAAUGUUAAGCUCUAUAGGGUCUUCUCGUCCUAAAGAAAUAUUUAAGCCUUUUAACUUAAAAGUUAAAUUCUAAAAUUUAUUAAGAGACAGUUAAUUUCUCGUGAAACCAUUCAUUCAAGCCUCUAAUUAAGAAACUAAUGAUUAUGCUACCUUUGCACGGU